CCUUUUUUUUUAAAACGAGCCAUCUUCUUCAAGAUGACCAUUCUGCUUCAUCUUCCUGGGCUUCACAGUCAAGGCGGGCUUCACGGGCCUUUUGGCGUGCCUCCUCAUAAGUGGCUUCAGACACGACGCCAGCAUCCCACAGCCUCAUGUACACAUCGAGCUGAGCCUCGACGUACGUCCAAAGCUCACGAGCAGGACCAAAGGAAGCGGCCUAAUCCCUCA
rnacentral:lncRNA from 1 species